CAAAAUAAUCCUCAACCGUUCAACAAACCUUCAGAAAACCCACCAGUUUACAAACCUAACCUUCCUACACCAAAUCACACCUCAGAAUCUUCACAGACUCCAAAGUCAGACAAACCUAAGAUUGUAUGUCACAAAUUUGGUCAUGAAACCAUUUUGCCAAAGACUGCUUAGCUGAAGUCCCACAGAAACCCAAGAUCAAGGACUCUUGUAACACCGUGAUUUCCAAAAACAAAAUUUUCAUUUAAAUAAUCAAUUUAAUAUUAAAACACUUGUUUUAAAAUCUUAUUCGCAUUCGAAUUACAAAACAUAGUUUCAUUUUCGUUAUAAUAGAAGACCAGGAUCCUCCAAAACACAACUCUUUCUUCGGUGUGUACAAUCGAACCGUUGCCAUCCCACAUUACUGUAAAAACCUGAAACAACAUAACAUAAACAACGUAAGCACGAAGCUUAGUGAGUUCCCCAAUAUACCUUACGCACAUACGCCUUUCCAGGCCCGACCUUUCGGUCCAUGUGUCUCAGGGGACUUCCGUCCCUGCUGGGUAAACCUUCCGGCCUUACCCACGCCGACCUUCCGGUCCAUCACACAUCAUAUCGCCUUCCGGCCCAUAACAUAUUGCCUUCCGGCCCAUAAUAUAAUCGCCUUCCGGCCCAUAACAUACAUAGCACAUAUAACAAAUAACUUACCACAUAUAGCAUACAUAUCACAUAUCAUAUCCGACCUUCCGGUCACACAGUCAAACCCUUCCGGGUACAGUAUAGUGAGAAGACUCACCUCGCGGACACUGGAAGAUAGCAACUCCUGAAAUCUCUUGCACUUGAUCCUCCGAGCUACAAGCUCCCUGUAACACCAUAUAUCCCUUAUUAAUACUUCUAUCUCCCACGUUAACUGACCCUAAGAAAUCACAUCGGUCAACUCUGGUCAACAGACCAUUGUCAGCUCGACUGGACUCGGCGAGUUCCCUGGCGACUCGGCGAGUCUGGUCGUCCUUCAAUCCUCUAAGAUUCCCCUUCUACUCGUCGAGUAUCCUCUUUGACUCGACGAGUCACUCCUGGAAGAAUCGCGGGGCCACCCCGACUCCACUCGCCGAGUCUGAAGAACAACUCGGCGAGUCCCAGUGAAUCUUCAAGCUACU
rnacentral:lncRNA from 1 species